AGUAGUGUGGUGUAGUGGUAACACUGCCGCCCAUCAUACGGGAGACCGAGGUUCGAUACCCGUGUCAUGC